rnacentral:rRNA from 1 species
CCUACGGGAGGCAGCAGUGGGGAAUAUUGCACAAUGGGGGAGACCCUGAUGCAGCGACGCCGCGUGAGUGAUGAAGUAUUUCGGUAUGUAAAGCUCUAUCAGCAGGGAAGAAAAAAGACGCUACCUGACUAUGAAGCCCCGGCUAACUACGUGCCAGCAGCCGCGGUAAUACGUAGGCGGCAAGCGUUAUCCGGAUUUACUGGGUGUAAAGGGAGCGUAGACGGGGCGGCAAGUCUGAAGUGAAAGGCAGGGGCUUAACCCCUGAACUGCUUUGGAUACUGGCAGACUAGAGUGCUGGAGAGGUAAGUGGAAUUCCUGGUGUAGCGGUGAAAUGCGUAGAUAUUAGGAAGAACACCAGUGGCGAAGGCAGCUUACUGGACAGUAACUGACGUUGAGGCUCGAAAGCGUGGGGAGCAAACAGGAUUAGAUACCCUGGUAGUC